rnacentral:rRNA from 1 species
UUCGAUUCUGGCUCAGGAUGAACGCUGGCGGCGUGCUUAACACAUGCAAGUCGAACGGAGUUUUAACGGAAGUUUCGGAUGGAAGUUAAGAACUAGUGGCGGACGGGUGAGUAACGCGUGGGUAACCUGCCUCAUACAGGGGGAUAACAGUUAGAAAUGACUGCUAACACCGCAUAAUAUAGCGAAACCGCAUGAUUUUGCUAUCAAAUAUUUAUAGGUAUGAGAUGGGCCCGCGUCUGAUUAACUAGUUGGUGGGGUAAAAGCCUACCAAGGCGACGAUCAGUAGCCGGCUUGAGAGAGUGACCGGCCACAUUGGGACUGAGACACGGCCCAAACUCCUACGGGAGGCAGCAGUGGGGAAUAUUGGACAAUGGGGGAAACCCUGAUCCAGCGAACCGCCGCGUGAGUGAAGAGGUAUUUCGGUAUGUAAAGCUCUAUCAGCAGGGAAGAUAAUGACAGUACCUGACUAAGAAGCCCCGGCUAACUACGUGCCAGCAGCCGC